rnacentral:lncRNA from 1 species
AACGUUUUUCUAAUUUAAAAUAUUUUAAACUUCCAAAAAUCAAUUAUUUCGGAGCUUCGGAACUUCAAUAAUUCACAAUAAAUAGCCCUUUUGCCAGAAAAUUCAAAUCUCGCGAGUUUUUAUAGGAAAUUCAAUUCUCUACAACUUUACAGAAGAAAGUUUUUCCAAAUUCCAAACAGAAAUUGACCGAAAUCCACAAAUGGGCGAUUUUACAGGCUAUAAUCAAAUUUCAGUCAAUAAAUGGGGUCCACCGACAUGUUUAACAUGUUUUAAACAUUUUUGGUAACAAAAAUACUCCUCCUCCACAUAUACUCAUAUAUCCCACAUUCAUCGUAAAAAUAUCAUCAUUAAUAUAUUAUUAAAAUAAUAUAUUUAAAUGAAUUAUUUUAUCAGAAAAAGAUAAAAUAUUAAUUUUCAACAAUUGUCACAUUAAAAAUUUUCUCCAUCUAUAUCC